UUUUCAGCAGCCGCGGUAAUACGGAGGGUGCGAGCGUUGUUCGGAUUUACUGGGCGUAAAGGGCGCGUAGGCGGCCUGUCAAGUCAUAUGUGAAAGCCCACGGCUCAACCGUGGAAGUGCAUGUGAAACUGGCAGGCUUGAGUACUGGAGGGGAGUGUGGAAUUCCCGGUGUAGAGGUGAAAUUCGUAGAUAUCGGGAGGAAUACCGGUGGCGAAGGCGACACUCUGGACAGAUACUGACGCUGAGGCGCGAAAGCGUGGGGAGCAAACAGGAUUAGAAACCCGCGUAGUCC
rnacentral:rRNA from 1 species